UACAGAGGUCCCAAGCGUUGUUCGGAUUUACUGGGCGUAAAGGGCGCGUAGGCGGCGCGGUAAGUCACUUGUGAAAUCUCUGAGCUUAACUCAGAACGGCCAAGUGAUACUGCAGUGCUAGAGUGUGGAAGGGGCAAUCGGAAUUCUUGGUGUAGCGGUGAAAUGCGUAGAUAUCAAGAGGAACACCUGAGGUGAAGACGGGUUGCUGGGCCAACACUGACGCUGAGGCGCGAAAGCCAGGGGAGCAAACGGG
rnacentral:rRNA from 1 species